UGAUGCUGUUUGCAGAAGGGAGGAGUGAGGCCACAGAAGGUGGGGGCAGAGACACUCAGCAGAGCCCGCAGGACAGUGGAGACAGACCCACGGACAGGAAGCAGGUUUCUGUUUAUAAACGGACUACGGACCUGGGUAUCCAGACAGAGGCAAGGCCAUGGGGAGUGAUGUUCUCAAACCCAAAGACACAAAGACUGACAGGCAGACAGAGGGUCCCAUCCGUACCCACGAAGUCCCCGCAUCAAGUUCCUUCUCCGAAAGACCUGGGGCAGCCCUGCCCAGAGCUGGGAAGUGCCCAGUAACCCACCUCUCCCGCUGUUCCUUGUAGGCCGUGUCCACUAGCCGCUUGGCCUCCUCCAUGCAGGUCAGCACCACCGAGGUCUCCACCGCCUCCGGGACAGCUGUCCAGAACAGGAGUCACAUAAGUCAGGAAUGGGCCCCAGAGCCGGGGUGGCCUGCGCUGAGGAAAGGGAUCCUUGGGACUCACAACCACCCCCAACACACCACCUUUUCCCCUUCUUUCUGCCUGUUACCUGGACCGGCACCCUCAGAGGGCUGGGGCACCACCAGAACGGCCAGGAGGAGCCCUGCAAGCGCCAGCAGCAGCUUCAUCUCUGCAACAAGACCCCAAGCCCAUACGCUGGCCCUUGGCAGCCCCCCCAUUCUUGGCGAAGGCUAAAGGGACAGGAAAUCUGGCUGAAGACCGUUGGAUUUCACAGGAAAGCCUGGGGGCUACAGGCUCAGGACCAAGGCAAAGCAGAAUUAACAUGAGCUACAGGACCCAUCGGCCAAAUCUGACUAUGGAGAUGUCACGGAAAUGAGACACAAAAGUGAAAUUGUUGGAGAAGAGAAAAUAAAAAGAGCUGAACCCCGCCGCAACUCCAAACACCCGGCCCUGCCACCAGGGGCUCGGGAAGCUGCCACACCGUCUUCUGUGGAAAAGAAACUCAAGAGCUGCUUGGUGUUCGUGUCCAUUGGUUUUGCCCCAGUCACCCUCGGAUGUAACUUCUGAGUUCCGAAGUCAAGUGCAAAGCCCAGCACGACCCGCCCCUCGAGGAGCCCUUUGCCCCAGUUAGAGCCCAGCAUGGAUUUUGUGAAAAUAGACUUUAUUAUAAUAAAAUGUGUUUUUAAACAAAUA